GAUAGGAGAGGAUGCGUUGAAAUCAGUUUUCAUUUAAAGUGGAGUUUAGCCACUUGGACUACCUGUGUGGCUCAGGUAGGAUGAGGCUGAUCCAUGGCUGGGAGACACUGCAGCAUCACGUUCGAUACUUGGAGAGCUUUUCUACCUUCAAGGGACUCAAAGCGCUUUGACACUAUUUACACAUUCACACACUGAUGCAAGGCCCUCACCACCACCCAUCAGGAGCAAGGGUGAAGUGUCUUGCUCAAGGACACCACAGACGGGACUGGAAUGGCGGAAGCCGGGGACCAAACCAGGAACCCUCAUGUUGCUCUACCAACCGAGCCAUGCUGUCCUCAUCACUUGCUUUUCAGCCGCUCAAAAAGCCGGUGCGACGUAUACUCCGGAGCGACUUAUAAUCCCCAAAACACGGUACUUUCCAGCAUCCAAGAGGUGAACAUUCCAUGCAGUGCAAUCAUUUCCCGAGGAGUACAAUUAGAGACACCACACAACUGCUCCAAGUUGAAGUGUGUCAUUUGAAGAAUCCCUAAAGCAGUCAGACUAAGCAAGCAAUCAUUUCAAUUAAUUUGAAUGAAGUGGCGUAUCCCCCUCAGAGACUUCAUCUUUGAGGUGGCUGGAAUAUUUCAGAAGAAAUAUAAACGUGGCAGUAGUGAACACAUCUGUCUCACUGUGCGAUUCUUCCACUCCCGUCCUUGCACGCUACACCGCUACAACAAAGAUGACGGGGGAAGACGCUGUCCAAGUGGAGGCACGUAAAUAAGAGCGCCCACAAAACGGUGCAUCCUGAAGAAACUGUCAGAAAGUGAGCUGAAGAUGAUGAGUAAAACAUCAUCCAUGCAGCAUUUUGAGCAAAAAAGCACCAUUACAUGUUAUGUAGACCAGUGGUUCCCAACACCCGGUCCGGGGAUCGGUACCAGUCUGUGACCCAUUUGCUACCGGGCCGCACAGAAACAGUAAUUAAUUUAUAAAUUACCGCAUUUCCUCCGACUUAACUUUGUCCUGUCGCACUAAACGCACUAAUAAGCUUGUAAAUAUAACUCCUUUGUUAUAGUACAUUAGAGCCGGGGUUUUCAACCUUUUUGGAGCCAAGGCACAUUUUUUGUGUUGAAAAAAUGCGGAGGCACACCACCAGCAGAAAUCCUUAAAAAAGCUAAACUCAGUUGACAGUAAAAAGUGGUUGUGGCAAUUGUUGGAUAUGACUUUAAAGCAUAAGCAAGCAUGCAUGACUAUAGCUCUUGUCUCAAAGUAGGUGUACUGUCACCACCUGUCACAUCACACCCUGACUUAUUUGCACUUGUUUGCUCUUUUCCUGUGUGUAGUCUUUUACUUCUUGUCUUGCGCUCUUAUUUUGGUGGCCUUUUCCUCUUUUUUUUUGUUAUUUUCCUGUAGCAGUUUCAUGUCUUCCUUUGAGCCAUAUUUCCCGCAUCUACUUUGUUUUAGCAAUUAAGAAUAUUUCUGUUGUUUUUAUCCUUCUUUGUGUGGACAUUGUUGAUUGUCAUGUCAUGUUGGGAUGUACUUUGUGGACGCCAUCUUUGCUCCCCAGUAAGUCUUUGCUGUCGUCCAGCAUUCUGUUUUUGUUGACUUUGUAGCCAGUUUUGCAUAGCCUUCCCUAAGCUUCAAUGCAUUUUCUUAGAGGCACUUACCUUUUGUUUAUUUUUGGUUUAACCUGCACACUGCCUCCCACUGUUUUCCACAUCUACAAAGCAAUUAGCUACCGGCUGCCACCUACUGAUAUGGAAGAGUAUUACAGGGUUACUCUGCUGAGCUCUAGACAGCACAGACACUCAACAAUACAUAAAUUGCAGACUACAAUUACUGGUAUGCAAAAAAUAUUUUUAACCCAAAUAGAUUAAAUUAGAUCAUCUCCCACGGCACACCAGGCUAUAUGUCAUGGCACACGAGUGUGCCGCGGCACAGUGGUUGAAAAACAUUGCAUUAGACAAUGCACAUUAAAGGCCUACUGAAAGCCACUACUAGCCACCACGCAGUCUGAUAGUUUAUAUAUCAAUGAUGAAAUAUUAACAUUGCAACACAUGCCGAUACGGUUAGUUUACUAAAUUGCAAUUUUAAAUUUCGCGCGAAGUAUCUUGUUGAAAACAUCGCGGUAUGAUGACAUGUAUGAUGACGCGUGCAUCUGACGUCUCUGGUUGUAGCGGACAUUAUUUUUCAGCCAGAUCCAAGCUAUAAGUAGUCUGCUUUAAUUGCAUAAUUACACAGUAUUUUGGACAUCUGUGUUGCUGAAUCUUUUGCAAUUUGUUCAAUUAAUAUUGGAGACGUCAAAGAAGAAAGAUGGUGGAAGGAAGCUUUUAGCCUUUAGCCACACAAACACACAGUGUUUUCUUGUUUAAAAUUCCUGGAAGUGAUGCUUUGCUAUGGAUCAUAGCGGUCAAGCCAACAUGGAUCCUGACUACAUGCCAACCGGCAGUUUUCGGCGAGAAAAUUGGGUCAAUAAGUCGCCUCUUACCGGAGACAUCAGCGGAGCUUCUGUGCUGCUGCAAGCUGACUUCCCUCAGAGACUCUGGCGUCAACACACCCCUCCGACUUUAAAGGUACUAUUUAAUCUCACUAAAACACUAGCAACACAAUAGGCAGAUAAGGGAUUUCCCAGAAUUAUCCUAGUAAAUGUGUCUAAAAACAUCUGAAUCGCUCUUACUGCUCUCACCUUUUUUUUUUGGGGCUUCACUCUAAAUUUCCUCAUCCACGAAUCUUUCAUCCUUGCUCAAAUUAAUGGGGAAAUCGUCACCUUUUUCAGUCUGAAUAGCUCUUGCUGCUGGUGGCCAUGAUUAUAAACAAUGUUCAGACGUGAGGAGCUCCACAACCCGUGACGUCACGCACACAUCGUCUGCUACUUCCUGUACAGGCAAGGCUUUUUUAUUAGCGACCAAAAGUUGCAAACUUUAUCGUGGAUGUUCUCUACUAAAUCCUUUCAGCAAAUAUAUGGCAAUAUCGCGAAAUGAUGAAGUAUGACACAUAGAAUGGACCUGCUAUCCCCGUUUAAAUAAGAACAUCUCAUUUCAGUAGGCCUUUAACGGACAUAUAAAAUGUUAAUGUGCCAGAGUGUAGCCAAAGGCUCAUUUUUCAUGCUUAUAUUUUUGCUGUUCUUAUCUGCCACAAGUAGAAAGCCGGUCCGUGAAAAUAAUGCAUACAUUAAACCGGUCCCUGGUAGAAAAAAGGUUGGCAAACCCCGAUGUAGACCACCAGGUAGUCUUUUACAUUUAGAAAAUAAAAUAAAAAUAAUAAUAAUAUGACUCCGUUCAUGCGCCUUUUGUAUAAAAAGAAAAAGACCUGCUCACAGUUUUUCCAGGUUACAGAAUUGUAAGAACAAACUGGUUAUGAAUAGUAAAGAGAAGACUACUAAAAUGCAUCAGCCCUUAAAAUCCCACUUUCAUUGGUGUUUCCUCAACUAGCACAUCCAUCCAGUUAAGAGCACUGCAGGAUUUAUUCUAAUGAUUGC